UUUGGUGACGAUAGCAAAGAGGAUACACCUGUUCCCAUCCCGAACACAGUAGUUAAGCUCUUUAGCGCCGAUGGAC
rnacentral:rRNA from 1 species